rnacentral:lncRNA from 1 species
UUUCAGGUACCGCGGGCGAUGAAUAGUGGGACGAGACGUGAGGUACGUGUGUAGCGGUCGAUAGAGCUUCCGACCCAGGUUAUUUCGGUAUAGUUAUUACCCUUAUUAUUUCAGUUGUUAUAGCUUAGAUAGUUAUAUGGUUCAGUAUUUUUAUUACAUUUGAAAAUAUGGAUUUUCGUGAAUGUAAUAAAUGGAUUUCUGGAUUUUGUAAAAUAAAAGGUUUUCUACCCCUCGUGGUAGCGUUUUUAAAGAAUAAAGGUUUUCGUGUAGGAAACAGUUUUCAAAAGAUUUUCUGUGGAUUUUGCAUCUUAGUAUUUCAAAACCUGGUUCUGUGGUUGAGAACAUUUUAACUGAUAGAUGUGGAUUUAUGUUUAAAAAUCAAAUAUAUAAAUGUGAACUGUGAUGUGAAUGGUGUAUGAAUAUAUAAUUGUUGGUUAUUUGUAUGUUCAUUUGGUUGUGGUUGUAUCUGGGUUACUUCUUGUACUUGUGUGACGCCGUGCAAAUACAGGGAAGACUCUGUCCGUGUUAAUAGUGGAUUCCCUGUGUUUGUGGCGGAUCUGGCAUACUCUGGGAUCAGGCUUUUCAAACAAAAAAAAAUCAGACGCUUUUCCGCUAUGUUUUAAACUAAAAGGGACCCCGGGGCGUGACAAAUUAAAGUGGUAUCAGAGCGAGGUUACAACCACAACACCAUUCACAGGUUGUUUUUGAAAAGUAAAUGAAACUGAACCAUUGGUUAGGUUGACCAAUAGGAAGACCACGGUGUAUAGGCACGUGAGUGCGGGGUUUUGGACUUGUGUCCUGGGUUGCAUUCGAGUUGGGUAAACUCGAAGUGCAUGGUUUCUGUAUGUGUUACGGUUCGCACAAGCUGGUGUCUCAGUUGGGAGUAGUGGCGGUGCUUCUUUGUGGACAUCGAGUGGUGGGACGACAUUCCCCAGGUGUUGCCACUCCUGUCAGGUGGGGCCUUGAAGGGCCAAGUGAGAUUUUCGGGCCUAGGCGAGUGUCAUGACUGCCGACGCCCAGGCCACUCUCUCUACUUAGGACACGAGAGCUGUUGCGAGUGUCUCUACAGAGACGGUGCUUAGACCAGUUACGGUCGCGACUUCAGUGGGGCUACUAGGGUGUAGCCCAGGGUUUGGAUUGCGGUCGUUUCAGCGACUGCAUUGUUAGUGUUGCUUCCGCAGACCUUUGGGUAGGGUUGCGAUGCCUACCUCUCCUCCUUGAUUGUUGAUUGGAAUCAGCGGUUCGAAUCUUUUGACCUUGAACUCAUUCAUUCUUCCUACUAGAGUCAAAUUGACACAGUUUUGGUGUCAAGUUUUCGUUAAGGCAUACAUCGUGUGCGGUUAUUCUAACACCCAAAUUGGUGUGUUGUGGGUUAGUUGUAGUUGGUCUAGAUUCGAGAUGUUCCAGGGUCGUUCUAAUUUCGAAUGUCGACUUGUAAAGUCGAUGUUUCGAUAGUAAUGGUUGUGAGCUUCUGGUUCAGUGAAGAGGUAUCAGGUGGCUUGAUACUUCGACGUGUCACACUUCCAACUCGUUGUUGGUAGUGGAUCUUCGGAUAUUUCGCUUUUCUUUUGAUAAGUAUAUUGGCUGCAGACAAUAUACUGUCGAAAGAGGAACGAAAUACCAUCUUCCCAUUUGGGACUUAUGNNNNNNNNNNNNNNNNNNNNNNNNNNNNNNNNNNNNNNNNNNNNNNNNNNNNNNNNNNNNNNNNNNNNNNNNNNNNNNNNNNNNNNNNNNNNNNNNNNNNCGGUGAAUGAUUCACCGUCUUUAAAAGAAAUAGGAGAAAGCGGUGAACGAUUCACCGCUUUUAAAAGAAAUGGGAGAAAGCGGUGAACGAUUCACUGCCUUUAAAAAAAAUUCUGACGUGGCGCCGACGUGGUGAAAGGAGGGUUAGUUUUCCAAAUAAAAUUUUGAGAGGGUUAUUUCACAAAUUUCAAAAUUUUAGAGGGUUGCUUUAUAAAAAAGUCCAUAGUUUUGCUGUAGUACGAUAAUGCAUUUAAUGAUUUAAUUAUUAUUAACAAAGGUACCACUUUGUAGGCCCCAAAAAGAUGCGAAGAAAACGCGUGAUUCCCUCUCCAAAGUGCAUACCACAGUAGCCAGGAGUUGCAAGAUAUGCCAUCCCAGAAAAGAGGGAGAAUAAUCUGCAUUGAGAGAGAAAUCUAUAUAUAUGACAAAAAUAUACAUUUUUUUUUUCGCCAAUUUACAUAAAAAAUUCAUAAGUUUUAAGCUUUUGAAAAACUAGACUACCUUUUUUAAUUUUGCAGAUUCGGGCCGAGUUUUUCGCCAUCGGGCGAAAAUACCCUUAUUCCUUUUCUUUCUCUCUCUUCUUUUUUUCUCUCUUUUUUUUUUCCUUCGCUAUUUUUUUUCUUCCGCCACCCGCCGCUGCGCCCUCUGCUCCACCCCCGCCGCCACGCUCGCGCUCUCCCUCGCCACCGCCGUCGCGCUCGCGUUAGCCUACCUUUAACUACCAGCCCCGCCUCCCCUCCUUCCUCCUCCUCUCCGUCCGACCGCACCGUGUCCGGAUCUCCCCCCGAUCCCUCCACCCGCGCCGCUGCCGCCACCCACGCUGCUGCCGCCACCCGCCACCUUCUCCAGGGGCCCGCAUCUCACACGAUGUCACAGCCACCACCCGCGCUGUUGCUGNUACGUGUGUAGCGGUCGAUAGAGCUUCCGACCCAGGUUAUUUCGGUAUGAUGAUUACCCUUAUUAUUUCAGUUGUUAUAGCUUAGAUAGUUAUAUGGUUCAGUAUUUUUAUUACAUUUGAAAAUAUGGAUUUUCGUGAAUGUAAUAAAUGGAUUUCUGGAUUUUGUAAAAUAAAAGGUUUUCUACCCCUCGUGGUAGCGUUUUUAAAGAAUAAAGGUUUCCGUGUAGGAAACAGUUUUCAAAAGAUUUUCUGUGGAUUUUGCAUCUUAGUAUUUCAAAAGCUGUUUCUGUGGUUGGGAACAUUUUAACUGAUAGAUAUGGAUUUAUGUUUAAAAAUUGAAUAUAUAAAUGUGAACUGUGAUGUGAAUGGUGUAUGAAUAUAUAAUUGUUGGUUAUUUGUAUGUUCAUUUGGUUGUGGUUGUAUCUGGGUUACUUCUUGUACUUGUGUGACGCCGUGCAAAUACAGGGGAGACUCUGUCCGUGUGAAUAGUGGAUUCCCUGUGUUUGUGGCGGAU